rnacentral:tRNA from 1 species
GGGAACUUAGUUCAAUGGUAGAACAUGAGUCUGUUAAAUUCGCCAUGGAAGUUCAAUUCUUUCAAUUCUUUCAGUUCCCGCCA